UCCUGUUUCUUAAUGAGUCCUCCAUCUCUGCAGCUCUUUUCAUCAAAAUUGGUCCUACUUUCAGAAAUUUUAACAACAAAAAGCCUUUUAAUACUAAGAAAGGUCCGAUGCAAUGUACCUAUUACAAUGGUACGAAGCAUACAAAAGAUACAUGCUUUAAAUUGCAUGGGUACCCUUCUUGGCACAAGCUUUCCACUGCCAAUACUCUACCUGCUAAUUCAAUUGUUGCUAAUUCAGUGACUAUUGCAUCACCUUUUGCACACUCCGUUGCUACAACUUCUACUCAACAGUCUUCUGCAGAAUCUAGUAACACAAUAUUCC
rnacentral:lncRNA from 1 species